ensembl:lncRNA
CUGGCAUACAAGGCAGUCGAUGGAACUGCCCCUGCCUACCUCCAAGCAUUGCUAAAGCCACACACCCCAGCUCGAUCCCUCCGCUCAACUACCUCAGCUGGUGUGGUAGAAAUUGCUGAUUAUAUUCUAUGGUAAACUGUGAUUAUUAUGAGGUCUUUAUGUCUAAUAGUGGAAAACACACGGUGCCUGGGGGUCUGGGUUUAGAACAGAUGGACCCCCCCUAAAAGGAGCAGGGCUAUCUUUGCUGACCAUUUGUUGUCUAUUUUCUGACCAUUCAGGUUAAAAUGGAUUUAUGACUGAAUGGAGGCAGACACCUCAAGGAGAAGCUGCUCUGUUUGUGUGUAUAAAAAGACGCCGCAGUUUGUGAACGACAGUGACUCUGCAGACCCACUCAGGCUGUUGUCGUUGUCGUUUUUCUUCACGAUAAAGUCUUUUUCAAUUCUUGCUCCGGACCCCUCGAUUUCUUUUACACUCUCUCUUAAAUUAGUCUAAGUGUUUUAAAUCUCGAUUAAUCUCCGACAUAAUUGGCGUCGCGACCAGGAGGAAAUAGGGACUCGCCAGCUGCCGGGCCAGAGGACGGGACGCGAACGGAUCAUACGACCAGAGCUCAAGGGUAAGUUGUCUUGCCAUAUAUAGGAUAGAGUCGUUUGAUCUGUUCUUGCCCCGUCUGAACGCCGAGCAGCAGGUCAAGUGUCUCUUCGAUCAAACGAACCAAAAUUAUAGAUAAAUGAGCGAGUGAGAGAUACGGGGGGCUCCGGGAGAGAUUGACGUGCGCGCGCACAUUGGCCAUUCGCGCUCUGUGGUUCUAAAUGACCAAGACGCUGUGUGGCUCCCUAUUUUUGAUACGAGUUGUUGUCAUUUGGAGUUUUGAGGUUUUGGUCAAAUAGACCUAUUAUAAAGUCCUGUGGCUGUAUUCUAGAGGAUCGAAUUAGUGGAAAAGUUCCAAUAGGACAGUACAGGUCCACAGGUCGAUUGAAGUACCUGUUGGAUGUUUGAGAGUAUCACAGAGAGUUGAGUUGGAAUUCAUUGCCGUCGAUGAAUUCAUUUUUAUUUUAGAGGUUUGCUUGGGAUGUCGACUGGUGAAUUUUUAGUUCCGAUGUUGGCAUUUUUGAGAAAGCAGACUCUCGCACUUUAGAAUAGAUAAGGUUCUUGGUUGGGGUACCGUUUGAGUUGGUAUUUUGAGAAGUUUCUUGUCUGUUUUUGAUCUGGUCGAGUGUUUAUGUAUUCAGCCAUUGUUUUGGAAGAAUAGGCUUGUUGUUUGGAGUACCAUCCGACCGUUCAUAUUUUAAUCAAAAGGCCAGUUUCUAUGCUCGGUCAACUUUUUAUUUGUAAUUAAUUACAAACAAUUCGGACAUUUUUCAAUAUAAGAUAAAGAAAUUGUAUGAACCGGCUUAUUGUCUGUAUUUAAGUCGUGUUAGGAUUAAGUUACCUCGGAGGUUUUUACGACCCGGUUCAUUUUUUUGUUUUUGAUUCUGUCAUAAAUAAAUUAGGCGGACAGAGAAUAGUUAAUUUGUUUAAAGUAGUUGAUAAUCAUAAAUAAAUUAGACGGAUAGAGAAUAGUUAAUUUGUUGAAGUACUGAAUAAAUGUGUAAAUCUUCUUUGACAUCGUCGCGCUGACUCUAACUGCACGUGCACGAGCAAACACACAGGGGACGAGCAGGAGCCUGCAGGCCGGGGUUAAAGAUAACAGUGAAGGGUGGGGGCCACAUUCCAAUCUUCGGGAGGGAGACGAGCGCUUGAGAAAAGUUCACAUUUGUAGCUUAGAGAUAGUAAAGUAUAGAAAAUAACUAGCAGAAUAAACUCAGAUAAAUUGUAUUAAUGAAUAGUGUACUUCAGAAUAGAUAAAUAAAGUAAUAAAGUAAUAAUUAAAAAUGGCACCAACAGCGGUAGAGAUUUUGAGUAGAGACCGUCUAUUGCUCAAAGGUGAGAUGAAAAAGAUCUCUGAGAAUUGGGAAGAAAGGACAGAAGCAGCAGGUACUAUAUGGCCCAUGGGAGGGACUUUUGAUCCAAUAAUGUAUCGGGACAUGGAGGUAGUGAUAAGGAACUACAUAGAUAACAGAAGUGGAAAAACGGCCUCAGCAAAGAGGGACAGGGAAAAGUUAGUACUAGCUUUGUUCUUAGAGGAAGGAGAGAGAUGGCGAACAUUAAAGAGAGUUAGAGAGAAGGAACAAAAAACGUAGAACCACCACUGGGAUGGGUGAUUCUGUGGUUCUUGGAGACUCGCCAACGCGUCGGAACACCAUAUGAUGGGUAGAAGCAGUCCCAUCAGAAGACCAAAGUGCGGCUACGGUAAUCAAGUUCCUGACUAGAGAAGUCAUGCCAAGGUUUGGAAUUCCGUCACAAAUUAGCUCAGGCAAUAGGGCAGCAUUUAUUCAGAAAACACUCAAACAAGUGAUUUAACAUCUGCAUGUCAAAUAAAGACUAGUCCGUGUCUACAUUCCUCAAACCACAAGGUAUGGUGGAGAGAGGAAUGGGACGCUUAAGACAAAGAUUAACAAAAUUAAAUUAGAGUACUAAAUUGGAGGACUAAUGCACUACGACUGACACUAAUGAGUUAUCGCAUGAAAAACUAACAGAACGACGCAUCUAACCCCGCAUGAAAUGUUUACGGGUCGACCCAUGCCUUCACCUGUCAUUCGAGGGCCUUAUAAAAGACCUCCAUUGGAACAAUUGGAAACUGAAUUAAGACGUUAUAUGGGACAACUAACUGGCAUACACAGGCUUAUUUUUCAACAAGAGAAAGACAGAGUUCCAGAGUUGGAGAAGGAGCCACCAAGGGGGGUGGAGCCAGGUGACCAAGUGUAUCUCAGGAUGUUCAGGAGAAAGUGGAACUAGCCCAGGAGAGAAGGACCAUACAAAGUCACCAACGCAACACCAACAGCCAUCCAAGUGGAAGGAAGUGCCACGUGGUAUCAUCUCAACCACUGCACAAAAGCCGCUCAACCUAAAGCCAGGGAUGAGUGUGAGGAGGAGCCGGAGCCGGACGCAGACACACCUGGGGCUGACCAGCUGCCCCAGGGCCAGAUCAAGUCGAGCCAAGAGAUACAACAGCAUGAUGAUGCUGAAAACGGGGAGCCUGUUUCUGAUCCUUUACGGGUUGUGCCAGAUUUCGCUGGCACAAGCACAGACCCCGAGGAAGGAUGAAACAACGGGGACAACACAAACCUGGAAGGGCCAGGAAUUAGGGGGUGGUAGGCCUACUGAAGAAAGCCAGAGAGGAACACAGGAUAAUCCGGCCCAAAAUCAUUCAGGACUGGUUGACAACAAAGGGAAAAUAGUCUUGUAUGCUCAGAUACCACCGCAAGACCAAGUCAAUGACUUUGUGUUUACUGUUAUGUCGGAUGACGAACACCUAUGUGCAUUAACCCUCCGCCAGAAAUAUGAACAUGCACAUAGGAAAGAUCGGUGUAAAUUACAUAUCCAAUUUGAUUCAAUGAAAUGGUGCCUAAUAGUAACGUCAGGAAGAACAUGGGACUACAACGGAAAGUAUCAAUUGAACGUGAGAGAAUUCAUAUUUUUUAAAGCAGUGUCAGACAGAACGUUUAAUUUUACAUUAGAAGCAGAAGAUCCUUGUGUAAUCAAAAAUCAACCGGGUAAGGUAGUUGAGAUUGAUCAAAGCAAUCCACUAAAAUCUUCAGAUAAUGAUAAAAUAAAUAUAACCACUGCCACCGAUAAAGUAGAUCAACCUCCGGUUAGAGAUAAUGGGAUAAAUUCGUUGGUAACCACUAAGAGUUUAAAUUCAACUCUAGAUGCAAGUAAGACUAAUGAAACUUCUAUUAGAGAGGAUACAACAAUAUUAGCAAUCACUAAUGUAACUUAUAUUGGAGAGGCAACCACUAACGUAACUCCAAUUAGAGAAAUAACAACAGUCAUGGCUGAUCUAAUAAUAAAACUAACAACGAAUGGUACAGCAGCGACUGCUCAGGGUGAAAUAAUACAGACAACAGUACUAUCAAAAGAAGAGAUGGCCCUCAUGGUGACUGGCAUAGAGGAGUGGGGGAGGAUGCUCUAUGGGGAGAUAGAUUGGAGUGAAACUAGAGAGGAGACCGGACUGUGAGAAUCGGACAUCAGAAGGAGGUCCUAUUUUCUUAACUGGUGACCUCACCAUGUGAACCACAACCAUUUCGGACAGUUUGAACAAAUGGACAUUGGACUAAUGGGUUUCAGGGCUGGUGGCUGCAAACAGGAGCAACAACCACAAUGCCCUAACCCCCCACGUUUAUAUAGUAUACCGGUACAUGACAAUAAUCAGAGCUAUCCAAAUCUAUGCAAGCUUGUUGACAAUCUUAGUUUUUAUUUCUUCUAUUGUUUACUUAUUUUUUGAAAUGUCAUUUUUUGAGUUUCAUAUUUUUAUGCCAUAUAUUCUGAAAUGCUAAUUUUCAAUGCAUGCUGAAAAUACUAUGUUAUGUGUGAAUUCUAGUUUGUAAUCUACAUUUGAUAGAUCUUUUUGCCUUAAACAGGUUUAAAAUCCUGAGAAUAUGCAGGUUGAGAUUCCUGAACAUGCUUAAAGGUUUUUAAUGAUGAUCAAAUGUAGUGCAAAAUAUAGCCUAAACGACUGUUAUGUUUUUGUUGUGAUCUUGGCAGUCACAAAAGGGGGGAUGUGUGGUAGAAAUGGCUGAUUAUAUUCUAUGGUAAACUGUGAUUAUUAUGAGGUCUUUAUGUCUAAUAGUGGAAAACACACGGUGCCUGGGGGUCUGGGUUUAGAACAGAUGGACCCCCCCUAAAAGGAGCAGGGCUAUCUUUGCUGACCAUUUGUUGUCUAUUUUCUGACCAUUCAGGUUAAAAUGGAUUUAUGACUGAAUGGAGGCAGACACCUCAAGGAGAAGCUGCUCUGUUUGUGUGUAUAAAAAGACGCCGCAGUUUGUGAACGACAGUGACUCUGCAGACCCACUCAGGCUGUUGUCGUUGUUGUUUUUCUUCACGAUAAAGUCUUUUUCAAUUCUUGCUCAGGACCCCUCGAUUUCUUUUACACUCUCUCUUAAAUUAGUCUAAGUGUUUUAAAUCUCGAUUAAUCUCCGACACUGGACUUCUGGAACCGCCAUCGCUAAGAGCUAGCAAAGGCCGUUCACUAAAGUCACAACUUUUCUCGGUUUUGGGACCUCAGUGGUGGAACGAGCUUCCUGCCGCUCUCAGGACCGCAGAGUCGCUGACUAUCUUCCGAAAAAGACUCAAGACUCACCUGUUCAGAGUCCACCUCGACUCUGCAUAGCCUCCUUCCCACUUCUGACCACCAUUGUACACUGUAUUGUAUUGUAUUGUAUUGUAUUGUAUUGUAUUGUAUUGUAUUGUAGUACUUAACUGUGUAGCAACUGCAGUAGCUGCUAUCAUGGCUGUAACACGGGGAAUUGAUUGACCUAGCGAUUGUGGUACUUGCACUUGGUUCUAUGAACAUCCUUUCUGUACCGACAGCGAUAUAUUGAUGCACUUCUUAUGACAAAUGUACUUAUUGUAAGUCGCUUUGGAUAAAAGCGUCUGCUAAAUGCCCUAAAUGUAAAUGUAAAUGUACAUAUAAACUACAAUACUGGACAUAAUAAAUAGAAUGAAAUUACAAUUAAAAUAAAAUAAAUAUAUAGUUAUAGUUGUAUUGUAUAAAUAGAUGCAGCAUAAACAGAGUGUGUGAAAUGUAAUUGUUAACAGCGGUUUUAUACGGAUGUUGAUUGUUAUAAAGUGUCAACUUGAGUCAACUUGAGAGACUGUCCCUGAGUCUGGGGGGUUCGAGACCAGAUGCUGCGGUAGCGUCUACCAGACGGGAGCAGCUGAAACAGUUUAUUACCGGGGUGAUGAGGGUCUUUAAUAAUCCGGUUAGUCAUCUUCCUGGAGCGCUGAGUGUAGAGGUCCUCCAUGGAUUGGAGCUCCGUCCUGGUGAUGGGCUGGGCAGCUUUCACCACCCUCUGUAAGGGCUUACGGCUGAGGGCGGAGCAACUGCCGUACCAGGCGUAGAUGCAGCCGGUCAGGAUACUCUCUGUGGUGCACCUGUAGUAGUUGAGUAUCCUGGUGUCCUUGUUGAACCUCCUCAGCCUGCGGAGGAUGAAGAGCUGCUGUCUUGUCAUCUUUGUGAUGGCGUCGGUGUGGUGAGUCCAGGUCAGGUCCUCGCUGAUGUGGACCCCGAGGAACGUGAAGCUGCUGACCCACUCUACUGUCGUCCCGUUGAUGGUGAUGGGGGGCGUUCCCGGCUCCCUGUCGCUUCCUGUAGUCCACAAUCAGGUCCUUGGUUUUUCUGAGGUUGAGAUGGAGGUUGUUGUUCUGGCACCAAGAUGUCAGGGUACUGACCUCUUCUCUGUACGCCGUCUCGUCUUCAUCGGUGAUCAGGCCGAUGACGGUUGUGUCGUCACUCAGCAAACUUGACGAUGGUGUUGGAGCUGUGUGUGGCCACGCAGUCAUGGAUGAAUAGGGAGUAGAGGAGAGGGCUGAGCACGCAGCCCUGGGGUGCGCCGGUGAUCAGGGUUCAAGGGGAGGAUGUGGCGUUUCCUAUCCGCACUGCCUGGGGUCUGCCCUUCAGGAAUCUCAGGAUCCAGUCGCAAAGGGCGGUGUUGAGACCGAGGUCCUGGAGCUCCACAGCGAGCUUGGAGGGCACAAUGGUGUUGAAUGUUGAACUGUAGUCAAUGAACAGCAUUCUCACAUAUGUGUUCCUCUGGUCCAGGUGAGAGAGGGCAGUGUGGAGGGUGAGGGUGAGGGCGAUGGCGUCGUCUGUGGACCUGUAUGCAAACUGUAGGGGGUCCAGUGAGUUGAGUUGUACUAAUCAUGUCAUGCUGCAGUGAAUAUUAAAAAGUGUAAUGACUGUUAGAGUUGUUGUUAGAGCUGUAGACGAAAUGAGCUGUACAUUACUCAAAUGUUAUUUCAACUUGUAGGCCUAUAGCUGAAAAGUAAUUUAGUAUAGUAAUUGAGGUAGUAUUAAG